rnacentral:rRNA from 1 species
GAUGAACGCUAGCGGCAGGCCUAAUACAUGCAAGACGAACGGUAAGUUGAGUAGCAAUACUUAGCCAAGAGUGUCGUACGGGUGCGUAACACGUAUGCAACCUACCCUAUACAGGAGGAUAGCCUAGGGAAACCUGGAUUAACCCUUCAUAGUAUUAUUGGAUGGCAUCAUUUGAUAAUUAAAACUGAGGUGGUAUAGGAUGGGCAUGCGUCUGAUUAGUUAGUUGGCGGGGUAAUGGCCCACCAAGACGAUGAUCAGUAGGGGUUCUGAGAGGAAGAUCCCCCACACUGGCACUGAGAUACGGGCCAGACUCCUACGGGAGGCAGCAGUAGGGAAUAUUGGUCAAUGGAUGCAAGUCU